GAGGGGCGGAGCGGAGCGGGUCCCGGCCCCGCUCCUCCCGGCCCCGCCCGAGGUGCUGGCGGGGCGCUGUCCCGCUGCUCUGCCCCGGGCCUGCCGCCCGCACCUGUGCGCUGCCGGCCCCCUGCUGCUCCUCUCCCUCACAGAAAACCAUUCUAUAUUCAGGAAGACAGGAGAUACCAAAUGGAUUGCUUUCAAAGGAUUGAAAAAAGAACAUCAACAACAGAGAUGCCUGUGCAGGACAGGAGCCUUUGACCAACACAUGAAGCAAUCCCCUGCAAGGGCAGGCAGCCCUGAACUGAGCCAUGAAAAUUGCUUUGAAAUCACGGCAGACAAAGAGGAAACUUUUGGACGUAAUUUAUUUUGGGAUGUUCCAAACCAAAGCUAUCGUCCAAACCAAAAAAGAAGUCCAGCCCUGCCAAGUCCUUAAUCAUUGAAAUGAAGAGACCACAAAACUGAAUGAAAAGAGGAUUGAAACAAUUUUCCUAGUCUGAAAAAGCCCCUUUUUUGGAGUUACUGUCAGAAGAAAAUAAGGGAGCAACAAAACCCCUUAAUACAUCACUGAUGUAUCUAACUCAAGGUUUGUUGCAGAGGCCAAACCUUUGUAAAGGGAGCAAUGCUGGAGUUUGUCCUUGCUGGGAGAGAGCUUGUAUGUAGACUUUGCAUUUCAGAAAAUAAACCAUAAACAUUAAACAUUAAAAAAAUACCAAAAACAUUAAAAAAAAAAAAAAAAAAAAAAAAAAAAAGACAACAGCAAACAAAAUUGUAUAAUUGUAUGACUGGGAAAGCUAGCUAGGAAUGAGACUUCAUUUUAGCAAAUCCUGUGAUAGAUUUGUUAUGAAAUAUAAAAUCAUCUGUACUAUCCCUCAAGUGGCAAUCACCAUCUAGGAAUAUUGUGUCAGCAUCAAACUGGAAAAAGUCCUGAUGGGGAUUUGAAGAAGCAGAGUGCAGUACAAAACAAGUGUAUUUCAUCUCGGCAUGCAGCACAGUUUUGCUCAAGUUGCUAAAUACAAGAGCACAGCUCCUGGGAAAAAGCCCUGCAGGCUCACCCCUCAUCCCCUCCCUUCGCUGCUGUUUGCUCAAACCAUCUGUGUGUACUUAACUCCCCAAGACAUGUUCCUUGGUGUCUCUGGUGGGAUUCAAUGAGCACAUGGACACCCUGCAGCCCCAGGCACCCUGCAGCCCCAGGCACCCUGGUGUCCUGCACCUCAGUGCAUUUCUGCCCUCUCGAUGGAUCCAGUCCUACCUCUCAACCUGCCCGCAGCCAAGUGGGUGGUAGAGGCCAGGAGAAAUGCUUUUACUCCUAUUUCAUGCUACAUCCAUUAACUUGUUCUUAAACAAUCUUUCAAGCCUUCUUUUUUUUUUUUUUUUAAGUGUGUCCUCCCUGUCAUAUGCAUGCAGUAAAGCCCAUUUAGCACUAUUCAGUAGCUAUUUCUUUCCUCAGGAACCAUGAAAGUUUACUUUUCCACAGAAAGAGCUUUGCUAUUUUGAGCAUGGAAUGAGGUGCGUGACUGUUCCUAGAGAUCCCACUCCCAAAAGGAGAGUAAAGCAAAACCCUGGAUCUCUCCCAGUAUAGUGCUGAGCCCAAAGGGCUCAGAGAAGAGCCAAAAAGGACCUUUUCCAAAAAAGACUAGCAAAGCCUCAACUAGAUGUUCUUAAUACAACAGAGAGAACUCUUAAAAUACCGUAAAAGUAUUACAGCAGGCUCUGAGAGGGAUGUACAAGAUGCCUGCAGCCCACCAUGCUGACCAAUGUUGAGGCAGAUGUGCUGCAAGUGAGACUGCCUGGCAGAACAGCUUUGAGAUAUCCAGCUGGUACAGGGGAAAACCAGGAAAAAGCUUUGGACCAUUUCAGUCCUAUGUUUCACCAAUGCCCAGACCUGAGCUGCCAAGGAAUGUGACUCCUCCAUCCUACAGUUACACCACAAGUCAUGAAUAAUAAUAACACCAAGGAUGUAGGUCUCUGUUACAGCUGCAGCUCAGUGAGCCUUUUUGUCCUGUUUUUUUCUUUAUACCUCCUUGGAUAUAAAUUCUAACUACAGUAGGUCAAAAAUAGAAACCAAACAUUUAAAAAUCACAAUUCUUAACUUAGAUGCCAUUAAAAUAUUCUGCCCACCUCAAACAACAGGUGAUUCAUUUGUGAAAGAUAAUGAUUUAUUUAUAAAGAUGCAAAGUGCAAAGCUGCACCAAGACCUCAGGGCAAGAGAGUGAACCAAGCAGUGUGUUUUGAAACCCUCCACUGACACCUGCAGAAGAUAAAGUAUUCAGCAGAGGAAGAAACACAACAGGGAGAGCAUCCUGAGCCUUAGAACAAAAGCAGGGCAUCCUCUCCAAACAGUAACCAUGGCCAGUUUGGUUGCUGAGCUAUGUCAUUUCCAUGAGCUUCACCUGCUGCAGAGAGAAAG